UGUCCUCCGGCGUGGGAAGAUCCCUGA
rnacentral:piRNA from 1 species